rnacentral:rRNA from 1 species
CCCUUAGACGUUCUGGGCCGCACGCGCGCUACACUGACCAGUGCAACAAGCAUCCGUCCUUGGCCGACAGGCCCGGGCAAUCUUUGAACGCUGGUCGUGAUGGGGAUAGACUUUUGCAAUUUUUGGUCUUCAACGAGGAAUUCCUAGUAAACGCGAGUCAUCAACUUGCAUUGAUUACGUCCCUGCCCUUUGUACACACCGCCCGUCGCACCUACCGAUUGAAUGGUCCGGUGAAGCCUCCGGAUUGGCGCGCACCUCGGUGCCGCCGAGAAGUUGGCUAAACCUUACCAUUUAGAGGAAGGUGAANUCGUAACA